rnacentral:rRNA from 1 species
ACGAACGCUGGCGGCAUGCCUCACACAUGCAAGUCGAACGAUGCCUCCGGGCAUAGUGGCGCACGGGUGCGUAACGCGUGGGAAUCUGCCCUUGGGUUCGGAAUAACUCGCCGAAAGGCGAGCUAAUACCGGAUGAUGACGUAAGUCCAAAGAUUUAUCGCCCAAGGAUGAGCCCGCGUAGGAUUAGCUAGUUGGUGGGGUAAAGGCCCACCAAGGCGACGAUCCUUAGCUGGUCUGAGAGUAUGAUCAGCCACACUGGGACUGAGACACGGCCCAGACUCCUACGGGAGGCAGCAGUGGGGAAUAUUGGACAAUGGGCGAAAGCCUGAUCCAGCAAUGCCGCGUGAGUGAUGAAGGCCUUAGGGUUGUAAAGCUCUUUUACCCGGGAUGAUAAUGACAGUACCGGGAGAAUAAGCUCCGGCUAACUCCGUG